GACGAACGCUGGCGGCGUGCUUAACACAUGCAAGUCGAACGGAAAGGCCCCUUUGGGGGUACUCGAGUGGCGCACGGGUGAGUAACACGUGAGUAACCUGCCCUUGACUUCGGGAUAACUUCAGGAAACUGGGGCUAAUACCGGCUAGGAAUCCUUGCUGCAUGGUGGGGGUUGGAAAGCUUCGGCGGGUUUGGAUGGACUCGCGGCCUAUCAGCUUGUUGGUGGGGUAGUGGCUUACCAAGGCUUUGACGGGUAGCCGGCCUGAGAGGGCGACCGGCCACAUUGGGACUGAGAUACGGCCCAGACUCCUACGGGAGGCAGCAGUGGGGAAUAUUGCACAAUGGGCGGAAGCCUGAUGCAGCAACGCCGCGGGCGGGAUGACGGCCUUCGGGUUGUAAACCGCUUUCAGCAGGGGCGAAGCUUGUGGUGACGGUACCUGCAGAAGAAGCACCGGCUAACUACGUG
rnacentral:rRNA from 1 species